ensembl:snoRNA SNORA70 Small nucleolar RNA SNORA70
GUGCCAGUAACUGGGUUUCUGUACUCAUGGUUGCCCAGUGUGCAAAAGCUUUGAACAGCAGGCUCUUCAGCAGUGUGCACAGAUCAUUGCUGGAAUGGGCUGCCCUAAGGCCCUAAGAACCUCU